CAGAGGUGAAGAGGGUUUGCACAAGCGAGCACUGCAGCAAAGCGCAUGCAGAUCCAAACCAUCCCCGCCACCUUGGAUGGAAAACACUGUGUGAAUGCCUGCACCAUAUGCUGCUUCUGCGCUCUGCGCCAUGCAAAUGUUCGGGCUCGACAGUUGCGACGACACCAAGCCGGCUCCGCGCAUCGAGGAAAGCAUGGCACCGAGAGGACGCUCGGUUUGUGGGCAAAGGUGAUGGAUUGUUGGUAAGGAGCCAGCGGACAACAAUGUCUCCACCCAUAUGCUCCGGAUAGCGAGAAGGGAGACCGGACGAAGGCGCGACACGUGGCAGCCAGGCUUUGGCCUGCCACCAGAACCCGUCAUCACCCUCACCUGCUGGGAGCAGAAGAAUGAAACUACCGAAAACCUGCGAGCUGCAGUCCGGUAGCAAAAAAAAACAACAGAUUUCUUCUUCGGGGAAAGGACUCGGCUUUAGAUAUUAGAAUAGAAGCUCCGAGAGAUAAAAGGAUGUCGGAGGAACGCUCGGUUCAGUAUGUCAGCGUUCUGUGAAAUGUGCUCAAUGACUUGUCAUUCUACUGGGUCGAAUAAGAGGAUCAGCCCAUAAUCUUCUCUUGAGCAUGUCGAUGCGAGCCGAGUUUGUCUUAUUGAUGGUUUGAACAUUUGGUGUGACAUAACGGAGAAAAAUUGUUAUUUCAACGCUAUUUGUAAACACUCUGCAAAUAAAGUUUUAACAGAAUCGGAAAACAUGGAUGACUUUUAAUAAUUACAUAUAUACUUUUUGAAAUGAGGUCCAGUUUAUUUAAAUCUCAUCACAGCUUUUAUUGAAUUACAAGAAAACUUCACGUACGGACUUUUCAAUUAAUAAACUAAUUGUACCUCUGAAAACGGACAAAUCAGUGCAUUCAGUUAUUAACAAAUUGUGAUGAGGACAAUCUUGUUUCAACACUAAGUGUGGUUCUACAAAAAGACCACAGGACCAGAUAAAAAGGCGCCAAUUAUAGCAAUUUGCCAGAUUGAAAAUCAAAAAUUCAGUCAAAGAGAGAAAUCUCAAAACCCAAAGCAGUAGUUGAUUUUGUCGUAGGACCAAAUUAAAUGUGGGAGAGCUCCUGUAUCUGGCGCUUCAGUAAGUUACUGCCCUUCAAGAUAAGACCUUGUUGAGACUGCCAAUUGAUGAUUAAAUCCCAGAACAGGGAUCUACUAUCAAAAGAUGUUGACAGAAAACAGAGAGUAGGUGGGAAGUUAAAUAAAAGGCAUUUCUGCUGGCGACAACCGGAAUAAAGACAUAUCUAAACGUUUGCAAGGCAACGGUGAAUUAUGGCCUCAUUCUGCACUUCCAAUAUUUAUGUAUUUCAUGAAUAGAACUCGCAAAGCAUCGUGGCUCGAAGUUCACUGCAGAGUCCCGGGAGACAUCGAAGCAUUCUUAUUCCUCUGGUUCAAUGUUUUUAAUUAUAUGUUGGCAGGGCUUAAGAUCUCAUUAAAUUUGAGAGUAUCAUUUGGAUGCUUGAAAGACAGCUUAGUGUCAUUCAGUGCUUUGGUGAUGGAUAUAAUAAAUCCCAUGCUUUCUAAUCCUGCGAUGUUAAAUUCAUUUUCAAAACCUUGCAAAUAAAUCGCCAAAGACAACCUCUGAAAUGCGUAAUAGCAGAUGUCACAGCAUUCACAGACAAGUUGGAAUACCCUUAUUUCACAAGUGUCAGAUAAAGACAGAGAAGCCAAAAAAGCAAGUAGAGAGGAAACAGAUUGUUACCCUCCAAAGUAAGACAAACUCACUUUUGUACAUCACCC
ensembl:lncRNA